rnacentral:rRNA from 1 species
AAAGUGAAUAGUGAAAUCUGGCGGCUCAACCGUACAGGCUAUUAUUCAAACUCACUAACUCGAGAAUGGUAGAGGUAACUGGAAUUUCUUGUGUAGGAGUGAAAUCCGUAGAUAUAAGAAGGAACACCAAUGGCGUAGGCAGGUUACUGGACCAUUUCUGACACUGAGGCACGAAAGCGUGGGGAGCGAACCGGAUUAGAUACCCGGGUAGUCCACGCCGUAAACGAUGGAUACUA